GGAAUGAAAGAUACCGGCUCAGUUUGUCAAGAACAUGUUAACACGCUCGUUGGUCAUUUAUCUGCGAGUACCACCAUGGGGUUAAUUAACAGAUACUUGUUUAUUUUGCGGCAUCGCAGUAGUAACAUUUGAGGUCAAUUUCCUAUCACUUUAAUUGGCCAAUUUUAUUAGCGAAUCGUUGAAUUUGUACGACUCGUCCAAUUAAUGCCAAUGUGACAAUAGCUCCAACCCGUUCCUUCGGUGCGAAGCUACAGAUAGAACGGCGGACCAGUUUACUCGAAAAC
rnacentral:lncRNA from 1 species